rnacentral:rRNA from 1 species
UACGGGGGGGGCAAGCGUUGUUCGGAAUUACUGGGCGUAAAGGGCUCGUAGGCGGCCAACUAAGUCAGACGUGAAAUCCCCAGGCUCAACCUGGGAACUGCGUCUGAUACUGGAUGGCUUGAAUCCGGGAGAGGGAUGCAGAAUUCCAGGUGUAGCGGUGAAAUGCGUAGAUAUCUGGAGGAAUACCGGUGGCGAAGGCGGCAUCCUGGACCGACACUGACGCUGAGGCGCGAAAGCGUGGGGAGCAAACAGGG